rnacentral:lncRNA from 1 species
GAAAUCUUUCCCCCAAAUCCUGAGAAGCAUGAGACUGGACCGGGAAGAGAGGACUGAAAGGGUUGGGCCUCCUCUAGGUGGGGCUGGUGUCCCCUAGGAGACAGAGUAAUGGCCACAGAAACUUCCUGGAACAGCCUUGGGUCAAUCAUUGACCCUGUGUCUGUGAGCCCGGGUGGGACAGAGUACAGAAUGCCCAAGAAAGAAGAUACCUGCCUCAGGCUAGCCCAGCCCUCAGCUGUCCCUCAGUGUCCACCAGGACCCUGGCAGCCUGGCCCCACCUCCUCCCCUGUGUACUCAAGGAGGACCAGGAACAGGACGUGGCUACAACCACAGCAGUUGGCUCAGGUGUCAAUCUGGCUGGCUACCCAGAGCUGUGUGGUAGCCUGGGGGGCGGGAAGAGGGGGGGUCCUACGGAGCUCCCGUUGUCCUGCAGGGUUUCAUAGCUCCGACCAUCCUAUCUUUGUCAUAUCCUUCGGCCAGAGGGCUGAGAUGAGUGACUGUCCCCUGAGGGGGCUCCCAAACUGGAUGUUCCAGACACGACUUAGAACGGGCGGUAGAACAGAGACAGAACUGGGGUCUGAGAGCGGCUAAGAGGGAGUCCCAGAAGUUGGGUCUCAUUCUACUCAGAUGCCCCGAGGUGUGAGUCAAAAACCUUUAAGAGCCCCUUUCAGAAGCGUAUCAUAAAAACCAAUCAGG